rnacentral:rRNA from 1 species
AUGGUGCUGCGGCGAGAUGAAAGGAACAUUUCAACGUUGAUGACACUCCCUUGUUUGUGCCUCGACCACAAGCACUCCUUCCAACGCCCAAUUCCACUCCACCGAGACCGCCGGCUACCAGGAGGAAGACCUUGGCAGGGAGGCUUGGUCACGGAAGCAGCCAUAGCCAAGUAUGUGGCGCUCUUCCGCGGCCAGCUCCCCGACCUUGCUGUUUCUGCGUUGAGAGCUCUUUUUCGAUUGGAUUGUGAUCUUGCUACUGAUGUUGAAGAUGCCAUGUUAGACCACAGUGGAGUUUCUAUGAUUAGCUCUAUUCAUGUUGUUGUUGUUCUGCUGGUCGUUCAAGCUAGGUGUGUGUGUCCUCAACUACCCUAUGAUGUGGUCCUGGCAAGGCUGAAGAAUUUUGCGGAGAAGCCUGCUGAUGGCAUCAAGGGGGUCAUCCUUCUUCUCAGGUAUGAAGAUUACAUUACAGUGGACAACAUCUGCAUUGGCAUCUUUUGUGUCUUUGCGAACAUUUCUAACGUGAACACGCCCAUUUCCUUCAAGCUCACCUCCAUAUAUGAACCUACUAGAAGUGACCUCAAAGAUUCAUUCUCCCAUGAGCUCGUGAGCUCUAAGCCUCAACGGGGCACUAGAUGGCUUGUGACAGCCAUCUUCGUCGCUCCUUUCAAAGAAGAUAUCCAAUUCCUAGCUUCAGCGCUUUUGGCCUUUGGGGGCGUCACUGGACUUGUCACCAACUGCGGCAAGAGCUUGGUCGCGCCCAUUCGUUGUGCCAACAUUGACCUUGAUGACAUCCUUCAGGCAUUCCCAGUGGUCCGGACCUCUUUUCCCUUGCGGUAUCUUGGUCUCCCCUGUCGGUCACGAGACUCAAGCAUGUGCACUUCCAGUACCUUGAGGACAAAGUUGCGGCCAAGCUUCCACCUUGGUCAACUAUGCAUGUUGUUGCCCCCGGACACUCUGUUUUGGUCAAAGCGGUCCUUACGGCCACUACGAUCUAUCAUCUCACACCACUGGAGCUCCCUGCUGAAGUUUGGAAAAAAGAUCGAUAGCUUGAGACGUGCUUACCUUUGGGCUGGUUGUGAUAAGGUGUCUGGUGGAAAGUGUAAGGUUAAUUGGGAGCUUAGGUGCAAGCCCAAGAUCCUUGGUGGCCUGGGUGUGCUUAACAUCGAGAAAUUUGCGACCGCCCUUCGCCUCCGCUGGCUCUGCGACAGUGAUAGAGAUCUUUUCUCGGUGUCCACAAUUGUGACUAUUGGUGAUGGCAAAAAGGCCAAUUUCUGGGAAUCCUCUUGGCUAAAUGGCCUCCGGCCUAAGGAGGCUGUGCCUGAGAUUUUCAAGAUAUCUAAAAAGAAGGCGCGUUUGGUCGGCAAGGCUCUGGAUGUAACUUCUGGAUCCGACAAAUUGACAUUAGCCAAGGACUCUGACACAUAUCAAGGAGUUUGGCCCUUUGGGAGAUGA